UCCAUGUGUCAAUAACGGCUUACUGUUAUGUCAUUCCAUCUGAUAAUAUUCUUGUUAUAACAGGCAUAUCUGAAAUGGAUGAGCAUGAAAACGAUAAAAACAUGAUGAAAAACUGUACACCCACACGGAAGGUAAAGACGAUAUUUAAAAUGGAAAUCCUUCUAAGUCUACCAUUUUAUAACUCAAUUAUGAUGAAGAGAGGACCAUUAUCAAAAAAUAAGGAGACAGCAUGGAUUGAAUCCAAGAUCACAUAGAAUAUCAUUCAGAACAAUUUGAAAAGAAUCGUGGUUUCUUCAUUUUGGAUAUGAACCGUACUAACAAAGGUGAUUCGAAAACGUAUCCAAGAAAGAUGUGAGUUGUCAACUCGGAGUCGAGGACCUAUGAAGAAUAUAUAUCCAGUUUUUAACAGAAAAAUUGCUUCUUUUUCUAAAGGGUUGGUUGGUGCAAGCCGCAAUUUAAUAUGUUUAAUAAUCAUAGACAUGUCAACGAAAAAAGAUGUUGGAAAACUUAUUCUUUUAAGAGGUUCCUUGUGACAUAAGAGAGAAAACUUCUACAAACUGUAAUUGACCAAAGGACAUAUUAAGAAGUCUCCUUAAACAACAUCACGCCACAGGAUACCACAUCAAAUCACAUUACAAUCACAUUCACAUGAGAUUUAGAUCAUAAGCAUCUUUAUAUUUUAGUCUACGUUUAGAGAUACGAAAUUAUGAUUUCAUAAUUGUCUUAUGAAGGUUUAUACCUGCUGCACUGAAAACAUUGGUGCUGAUAAGUUUGACAAUUAUGUUGUCUUUAAAUAGAUAAUAUGUUCAUGUAAAAGUUUAUAUUGUUCAAUAGUUUAAAUUUGUAACAUUAUUGUGGUUUACAAGAGAUGUUCAUAGAUUUGUUAUAGUUAAAAAUCAAUUUGUUGAUAACUGAAAUGUUUUCUCUUAUGGGAACGAGUGAUUAUCUAAGGGAGGAAUGUAUUUUCCGAAUUUUUCUCUGAUUCACCUCAACAAUUGUUUCCUUCAGUCAUCCAGUUGAUUUGGAUUAGAUAAUAGAACUGAGUUGGAGCUUUAAUAUCUUCAUGAUUGUCUUCCUAGUUGUUAAUAACUGUUCCCCUAUUUACAGGGUCGAUUAUUUUGAAACAAUUUGGAGAAUCUUGAGUAUUCUCACGUUGCUCAUUGUUAUAUACACAUCACCACUUUCGUGACAAAUAUUUUUUAUCGUUAUCUAUAAAACAAUACUCGUCCAAAUAAGAGAAGGGUGUUCCAGAAUGAAGAUAUACUUCAUUUUUCAGUCUAUAUUUCCAGAAGUACUAUGGAAGCUAUGUUCAGAAUAUUCUUAUAUGCUGUUCCUCCUAUGGUGAAUAUCAGUACUAAUCUCUUGACUUUCUCUUUUUGUGUUUCAAGUGAUUGGUCCGUAACCGAUUGAACUUCCACUUAUGUAUAACUCAAGUGGACUGGAUCAAAAAUUAUCAAAAGCGACUCGUUAGUUAAGACUGUUACCAUUUUUAAUCCGAUAUCUUCGUGGGAGGAUUUCCACUCUAUAUCGUCUAUAUAAAUAAUCACAAGUUCACUUAAAGUUUUGGUGAUUCGAGAAUCAAAUGCAACUGUUAAAUACUGGUAUUGAUAAUAAGGUGCAACUAAAGACUAUUAAAUAUGGGUGGACCAGCGUUUGUCGUCUUUUGGUGUGAAGAUUUAGGUCAGUCGUCGUUAUUACCACAAAAAUUUAUCUGAAUUCUAUUCAUAUAAUCCCCGAAUAGGUGAUUUUCGAUAACCAAGAAGAUGCUUGAUCCUUCAAAUCUAUCAGGAAACCACCUCCUGUGGGCAUUAUCCGUAAUGCAUAUAUCAGUCGUCAAAAUCCAAGCUUGUGUAAUUGCACUUUCCCCAACCAGAUUAAAUUUUGUCGUAGUAAUCUAAGUUGGGCGUGGCUUCAGAGCUUGUAGUAGAGCCAUGCAGUUUCUGUUUUGCUGUUUAAUGCAGCUUUCCUCCUUUCCUACAUAUGUUCAGAAGCUGCAAAACCUAGAAUUCCAAAAAUACUAUUAUAUAAGGUGCUUGAAUAAGUUCUCGCUGUUUUUUUUUUGUGAAAAUCAAUUUAUUUACGCAAUGUGGUGCACAACACGUCACUCAAAGUACAGCCCAUCACAAGACACUACUUUUUCCCAUCUUUCUGGCAGCAAAUGAAUGCCUCGUCGAAUUCAUUCCUAAUGCUUUCAAACGUUUGGAAACUAUUGAGUCAUCCACUCCUAAUGAUUUUCCAAGUUUUAGCUUAAGUAAUGCCAAAUAUUUUGCCCAAAUUUAUCUUUCUUGUGAAAUCUGCUAAAUCACUUCUCACAUUAGUGGAUUUUUUAAUAGCAGUCAUUAAUGGUGUAUUUCCAUUUUUAUCUUCAUCAAUUCCACUUAUUUUACCUUUAUCCAGAGAUGAUUUAAGUACAUAUGUAGUGCCAAAUAUUUUGCCCUCGUUUAUUUUUCUUAAAAAUACACACUGUGUUCGAUUAAAUCAUAGCUAUCUUCAACUGUCUUCUAUCCUUAUUCCGUAUAUAUAUAGGGAGGAGAAAUUGUUGUUAAAGCUAUAUUUCCGCUCUUAAGAAGUCUAUUUAAACUUAAAUGAUGUCAAAUAUUUCGUCCUAAUUUAUUUUUUUUUGUGAAUACUUUUAUCACUUUUAACAAAUCCACCAGUGUCAAUAAUACUUCGAGAAUAUCAGGUUGUAUUUGUUAAAUAGUUUGCACAUAAAAAUUCAGCAUAUGUUUUAUGUACAAAUCGAGGGUUAUUGUAAUUAUCAAACCCAGUUAUUUCGAAAUUUAAAUGCUUUCUUAAAGAAAUAAAAUGUUAAUUUCAUUGUUAUUUAUGAGAAAGUCGUUUAUGUGAGGAAACAGAUCAACGACGUGUACUAUCUUCAAAGGUACCCUCAGGAGGGAUUUUUUAAAUGUCUUAAUUUUCAUAAGACAAUUAGCAAAACAUAAUGGAGUAAAAUACAAACCAUUACAAUUUCCACAAGCGAUGGUACCUUGUGUUCUUCUUGAGUUUUCGUAUAAUAAACGAAUACUUUAUUAAAUUAUAUAUUAGCCGUUCUGGUCCAACACCUUUUGCCAUCUUUCUGGUAAAAAUAAAAUUUUUGGUCUUUGCUGAUCGAGGUGGUUUUUGACCUCAUUUGAGGUGAACGUUUUACCGUCUCAAAAAAUCUUUGAGUGACCGGAACAUUAUUAGUUCUGGCCUUUUCUGUUGAAAUCUAUCAUUUGGUCCAGCUGAUGACAGUAGACGUCCGAAUUAAUCGUUGUUUUAUCCGGUAAAAACUCAAAAAAACGAUUCCUUUAAAAUCCCACCAAACAGUUACUUCAUCAUCUGUUUUACUGUUUCUACAUAAUAAUAGAUAUAGUUUUCCUAUGGCCACUUUUGUCUUCUUCCAGAGUUCCUCGGUGUUCCUCUUCCUGGUCAGCUUAGAGUCCAGUUGGAUUCCUAAAUAUUUGGCCUCGUUGGCCCAUUCUACCUUAUUUCCUUCGAUGAUUACGCUGUCUGGGGUUGGUGAUCUUCUUUUUUGGGUUUAUUUGGAUUUUCCAUUUGCGACACCAUUUGAGUGUGUCUUCCAUGGCUGUCUAUAGGAGUCUUUGGAUAAUUCCUGUGUUCCUGUGGCUUGUUAGAAGUGCAGUGUCGUCGGUGUAUUGAGCUAUAAUUUUGUUAGGUUGUCGCCGUAUCCGUAUGUUUUCAUCUUGUGGAUGAGGCUCAACUAAUGGUUUCCCCGAGGCGAAGCUUCCACUUCAAUUGGAUGUCCAUUAGUGGUUUCUCCGACUGUUUCAUUUCUUGGUUUCCUAACGCCAUAACUGCAUACAAUUCAACUGUCGGGGUAAGAAUGACCUACUUCUUCGACGCCAUUUUGUCCUGGGUGGUAGGUACUCAACUAAUGGUUUCCCCGAGGCGAAGCUCUCACUCCAGUUGAAUGUCCAUUAGUGGUUUCACCGAUUGUUUCGUCUCCUGGUCUGUCAAGGUCACUUCUUGGAGUCUCAUUUCUAUGAGAGUUUGUCCAUCGUUCAAUAUGGGUUGACCGCCAUUUGCUCUUCUGUGGUUUGUUCUGCUUUUACUGUAUACGUUAAAAUGUUUUAAUAUAUAUUCCUUAGAUUCCAGCAAAUGAAUUUCUUGGAGGCACAUUAUGUUUGGUUGGUGUUCUUUUACCAAUGGUACUAAUGGGAUUUUCAAGUUUGGUACGUACGUUUUGUAUGAGUCUUCGCUAGUUCAUAUUUAAUUGUUUCUGCUGUUUAAAAAAUAGUGUCAUGGCAGAUGAACUUCUUUUAAAAAAUGCUAUAAUCCCUUUAAUUUUUUUCAGCGUAUUUUAAAGAAUUCUGAGCAAUAAGGUUCAAGGUAUGUGCAUAACAUCCAAAAUGCUGUAACUGAAGUUCUUCUUUUAUUGCUCUAUUAAUAUUAGGAGUGUUUUUCCUGAAAUAAUCAUUAAAAUUAUAAUUUUUAAAUUCCAAUCUUCAAUAAUAUUUUUAAUAAACUUGGCAAGAUUGACACUAGUAUGUCUUUCACCAAAAACUUCGCAUCCUAGUACUGCAUGUUUAAUUUCUAAGUUACAUUAUUAUUUAGAAAAUGUGCAAAAACUCCCAUAAGAUUGUCUGUUGCAGAUGAUGUCCAACAAUCAGUUGUAAGAGUAACUAUAUUUACGUUGUUCAUUGCUUCUUUAGUUUUAUUAUAUAUUUUUUCAUAUUUAGCCGGAAGUACGGUACUUGUAAUUUGUUUUUCUAUUAGGUAAUCGGUAUGAUGGAUUAAGUGUCUGUACAAACAAUUGAAAUCCAUGAUCUUCUACCACCGAAAAUGGCUGGUUAAAAAGUAGCAUGAGCUUAUCAUCAAUUUUAUUUUGUGUAGUUCCUCCAACUUUUUUGUUUUGGCCAUUACAAUAUUUGAUUCACUCUCCCAUUUGGUCAUCCCCGAAGUAGAUGAUAGAUAAAUCCUAUCUAAUACAACCCUACAAGAAGAAACUAGAAGCUAUUUUAAAUAUAAAAGAAAUAUUUUUAAUAUAUGCCAUCUUCAAUUAGGGCCCCGAUUUGGGCUACUUAAUGCCGUUGUUGCCGUUGUCAAAUGUACUGUACACAAAGUAUUUUAAAAUAAAAAUAAAAUUGUUCAUAGUA